GGAGGGAAGCUCAGUGCUGAGGCUACAGACAGAGUGCUGGGGGUCACUCAGUGAGUGUGACUCAGGGAAGGUCUGAGAUUUAGAGCCCCUUGCUGCUCUCACAGGGCAUCACUUGGANNAAGUGAGUGGUACUCAGGAAAGCUUGGCUCUGAUUGGCCAGUGAGUGCAAAAGAUGCAGUGAGUGCUCCUGGGUUGAGCUCCUGUAGGAUGCAAAGGCAUCAGGCUUGGCACUGCCCACAGCUGGCACAUUCAAGCUCAAUGGCUGAGAGGGAACUGCCNCAACCCAAUUCAGACUACUUUUUUUCCACAUUUC
rnacentral:RNase_P_RNA from 2 species